rnacentral:rRNA from 1 species
UACGUAGGGUGCGAGCGUUAAUCGGAAUUACUGGGCGUAAAGCGUGCGCAGGCGGUUCGUGAUGUCUGAUGUGAAAGCCCCGGGCUCAACCUGGGAAUUGCAUUGGAACCUAGCGGGCUGGAGUGUGGCAGAGGGGGGUGGAAUUCCACGUGUAGCAGUGAAAUGCGUAGAGAUGUGGAGGAACACCGAUGGCGAAGGCAGCCCCCUGGGCUAAGACUGACGCUCAUGCACGGAAGCGUGGGGAGCAAACAGG